rnacentral:rRNA from 1 species
UACGUAGGGACCGAGCGUUGUCCGGAAUCAUUGGGCGUAAAGAGCGUGUAGGCGGCCACUUAAGUCCUGCGUGAAAUCUUGCGGCUCAACCGCAAGCGGUCGUGGGAAACUGGUGGCUAGAGUGCGGGAGAGGAGAGUGGAAUUCCGUGGUGUAGCGGUGGAAUGCGCAGAUAUCAGGAAGAACACCAAUGGCGAAGGCAGCUCUCUGGGACGGUACUGACGCUGAGACGCGAAGCGUGGGGGAGCGAACAGG